GUGGGAGGAAGGGGUUACAUUGUAAUGGAACUUAGGCAGUGCUCUUUGUGACGAUGAGACACCAAGGUGCAAGAAUUACAGGUUGCAGCAAGAGAAAUUCUAAUUGGGCACCGGAAAAUUCUUCACUGUGGGGGUGGUUAAGCACUGGGAUGUGCUUCCUGGACAGCAUGUGGGAACCACCUCUGUGGAGAUUUUCAAAACAUGACUGAGCAAGUCCUUGAACAUCCUCAUUUAAUUUUUCAGUUAAACUGACUUGAAGCAGGAGGUUGAACUAGAUAACAUCCAGAAACCCUUUCCAGCCUAAUGGUUCUGUCAUACUGUGAUUCUGUCCUUAUUUUCUUUCCUGUAACAGCUGUAGUUCUGACAGAGGAUAUUCCAUCCUUAGAAUGAGCACUGCAGAAGUUACUUCCAGUAAACUGAGGAGGGUUGUCGAUUCAUGUGAGAAUCAACUGAGAAAAGAGACGUGAGCAGAGCUCACCGGAGGGGGCUGGUGCAAGAACUGCAGUUGGUGAGGAAGGCUCCUUCUGAGGAAGGUGACCUCAGAAAAGUGGAGGGCUGGUGGCCUACAGCAUGAACCAGAAUGCAGCAUGUCCACACCCACAGGAAGAGCAGCAGAGCAAGGUCACCUCCAGCUGUUGUUAUGUACAUCCUAGUAGUAGGAAGCAAUGAAAGAACAGUGGAGCUGGAAGACAAGUAAACAACAGCCCUUAGAUCUUGAUCAAUAACCUCCAAAUUGGCAGUUACAUUAGGCAUUUAAUUGCUAUGUUAUUCGUAAUAGAAGUAGUUUUUUCAUGAAGGAGGGUCAAAAUGAAUCGUGGUCUGAGUUUAGGAAACUACUGUCCAUGUCAGAAGUAACACAGAGUGAGAGACAGAAGGAUUAGUGAGAAAUACUAAUACAAGUAAUUGAGAUGUGAUAAGAAUACAAGUAUUCCUCAAAGGCUCGUUCAUAGGCAAAUAAUUCAAUAGCAUCCUCUGUUGUCUCACCCCUUACUGAAUAUGCACAUACAUACUUUUUCAAUAUGCACCUUUAAUAUAGACCUUCUCAGCAAUGUAGUUUUCACUGUCAGCAUUUUGCUCAUUUUCCUUGUCAUCCUGCAUUUUCCCAAUAAAACCUGCUAUUCCUGAAAAAAAAAUCAUUCUCCUUUUUUCUGUGAGUUUGUUCAUUACUAUUGCAAAAUGUUC